CCUCACGACUGCGGGAGCCCGCGUGUGACGACCUGCCCAGGGCAGGCGGCGCCAGCCGGGCUGAGAGGGCUUGAGCCGACCGUAAGAACCUGAUCCGGCUUGUACCGGCGUAGGGAAGGACGAGGAUUUCGUGG
rnacentral:ncRNA from 2 species